GUUAAUUUCUUCAUUGUCAAUUGGCCUAGUGGUACCAUCUUUCGUGAUUGAUCCAUAAAGGCUGCUGCUUCUCUGACUGAUGCAUUAGCAAUGCCAGCUGAAUAUUUGAGUUGUUUUUGUGCUGGUACAGGGAUUGGAGAUGGUGGACCACUCAUUUCGUCAACAAAGUGUUUGUUAGAGUUACCCGAAGCUGGGGAAGACAAUGCAACUGAAACAGCCUGCUUAAGCUCCUUCUCAACUUCCUUUCUCCUAAUUUCACUCUGCCGCAAUAGACCAAUGAGUUCUUUCAUCUGCUCUUUCAUUUCCUUGAUCUCAAGCUCCUUCUCCCAAAGCUGGCAUCUUGUAUCUGCAAGAGAAUUGAACAUAUAUUGGAGCAAACUUUUUGCAUCCCCCAUCGAGCGUAGUUGGUUCCAACGCCCACGAUUGCUAAAAGCACGCUCUCGUUCUUCUGCUUCUGAAAGUUG
rnacentral:misc_RNA from 1 species